AGCAGUCUGUCAUGGACAUCCUACUUGCUACCUAGGUUUUGCUUAUUCUGUGCAUGCCUCAUCUGUCUGUGCUGGGUGCCUCUGGGUGGUGGUUCAGGCCUGAGUCCUGCUCUUCAUCACCUGGCAGGGCUCAGAAGGUGGGAUCCAAAUCUACCAAUUUCAUAAAAUUCUGGAACCCAACCAGGUGGCCUCAGGGACUGUGUGGCCUUGGUGUCCAGUGGUUCUGGGUCAGGGGCUCUGGACCCACCUGUACUCCUGGGCUUCAGUGCCUCACCUAUGAACUGGGGCUGAUGAGGAUAGUGGUGGUUGCCCUUGUGUGUCUUUAGUGCGGUAGUUUGGGAGAGCUCAGAAAUGAGUACUAACACCCAGCCUGAAGAGAGAGCCCAGGCUGAAGCAAGUCGUUCUGGGGAGGGAGGACUGGACAGGGUAAGCUACCAGUCUGCCAAUGAAUCUUAAGAAUGGGACUUCCUCCUGUGCAAAGCCCAGUACCAGGGGUUAAAAGAAAGAGGGCAGCUAUCUCCUGCCGACCCACAGCCAGGACACCAGAAGCCAGAAACCGGGACAAUCGAACUGGAGUCCCCCGGAGCCCUCACCACCGGCGGGCUGAACCUGCACCGCCACUCAGGGAUCAGCGCGGGCAUGGCCGCCGGCCGAGGGCAAUGAGAAACCGAGGAGAGUCGCUUCACGCAGAGUUCCAAUUUUUUCCUGCAUUUCGCUGAGUGGCAGCGGCGCGCGCCUCUCCACGAGCCCAGGAGCUCCGGGCCGGGUUUCCCCGGCACGCUCGGCUGCAGCCCAGGCGCGGGUUUGAAAUUUCUUGCAGACGCCGCCACUCACGCCCGGCGAGCGCCAGUCGGAGCCGCCGCCCCGGGCCAGAGGGUCCCCGCUGCGCGAAGCACGAAAGCCUGCAGUGCCCGGGGUGGGGACGCAGCCGGCCCGGCAGGCUCUCCCCGACGCCGGGCAGGGCUUCCUCCCCACCCCCUCUCCACUGCCCGGCCGCCUCGCUCCCCGGAGCCCCGAUCACUGCCCGCUCCGGCCAGGCCGCCGCAGACCCACCUGGCCGCCCCGGGGACGCCGCGCUCGUGCCCGCGCCGUGUCCUGAGCGCCGCCAGGGUCCCGGGCUGGGAAUCCACGCGGCAGCGCUGCUCAGGGGAGCCUGCCGCAGCCGGCGGGAGGUUGUCAUUGAUUCGUGCUGGGCGAGUUAAGCCAUUCCAGGAGUGGUUUUGGGAGAGCACUCCCACCCCUCCCUGCAACCAGAAGUAUUUGGCAGGCAGCCCCUUUCGUCCACCUGUACUGUUAAGCGCGGAGCAACGACCAAUUUCAGCAAUUGCGCUUUAUACCUCACCUUAAAACAAGCAAAUAAAGUACUUUCGUAAAGGUAAAAGCAGAAAUGAAAGCAAGGCUGGUGGUGGAGAAUUCUCCCCGCUUUGCUCCUGGUCUCGGGUUAUUUAUUUAUUUUCUCUAAUAGUUCCCAAAAUGCCUUACCACUUAUCUCAAAUCAGGGGCGCUUUUCAUUAUUAUUGUUUUAUUCAAUUCUGCAUGUCUUUUAUUUUUAGAGGCAAUUUUAUUUCCAUUUGCCUGCAACCUGAGCCCAAUAAAAUCGCUAGAAUUACAUGUUUGCUCCUUAAAGGGUCGUGAGUGUAACUUAAUCAAAUGGAACAUUGCAAGCGUUCAAGUGGCAAAUAAAAAAGAGGAAAGUGCAGGAGGGAAGCCCAGAACUUUGGCUCCCUCCACCGGGUGGCCCAGCUGGGCUUUACCGCGGUGGAGUCCUGAGGCCUGGGGUGGGGGCACCCACUGCCACUCAG